rnacentral:rRNA from 1 species
UGGGGAAUUUUGGACAAUGGGCGAAAGCCUGAUCCAGCAAUGCCGCGUGUGUGAAGAAGGCCUUCGGGUUGUAAAGCACUUUUGUCCGGAAAGAAAUCCUUGGCUCUAAUACAGUCGGGGGAUGACGGUACCGGAAGAAUAAGCACCGGCUAACUACGUGCCAGCAGCCGCGGUAAUACGUAGGGUGCAAGCGUUAAUCGGAAUUACUGGGCGUAAAGCGUGCGCAGGCGGUUUGCUAAGACCGAUGUGAAAUCCCCGGGCUCAACCUGGGAACUGCAUUGGUGACUGGCAGGCUAGAGUAUGGCAGAGGGGGGUAGAAUUCCACGUGUAGCAGUGAAAUGCGUAGAGAUGUGGAGGAAUACCGAUGGCGAAGGCAGCCCU